AAUAUCAACAUUAAUUUUUACUACUUACUAGUUGUUUGAAUUUCACUAUGAGAUGAACUUUAUCGUGCCACUUCAAGGCGUUUGUUCUUGAGACCUGGUUGAAAGGGAAUUCAGAUUCUAGGUUCUCAGUUCUCACGUGUUCUUGCAAGUUGCAUUUUUUUGUUUUGGAAUAAAUUCGGAACUGUUGGCUAAUCUCUGUCGAAUCUCCUCUUCCUCCCUUGCACAAUCUGAUAUUAUUUAUUUUUAACUCAUUUCUACUUCAACUGCAAACAACUCAUCGAUUUGAUUAGCAAUAAAGGAUCACCAUAUCAUGAGUUAAUUAGUUAAGCAAAGCACCUGCAUAUAUCACUUUUGGUGUUAAUAGAUACAGUACCUGCCUUGCGUUCAGAUUAAUUUGGACAAGACAAGAAAAUCUGGGGCCAUCAAACAGAACCUUUUGUUCAUGUUAAUAAUACUACUUAACCAUGAUGUGAUACUAGCAAUGAUGGCAAGCAGAUGGUGAGUUUGGUGACCUUGCAUGAACAAUUAAUCAGUGGACAGGCCACUUAAUUGGAAGAGAGGAUCUUGUUCCUCAAGCACAAACCAUGGACCACUCCUUAAUAGAACUCAGAGAUGAUUAAUACUAAUUAUUUGUUUGCUUUUAUAGUUGGUUGGUAGUUUGUGCAGUUGGGCAGAACUCUGCUUAUUCCAGCCUAUCAGAACUGACCACUCAAACAUGAGCCUCUUGUUCCAAAGAAAAAGCCAAGUAGAUUAUCCAGUCAGAUACUAGGACCAAUGAGCAGAAAAAACAGAGAAUUUUUCUGAAGAGCAUAGAAACAAAGCACUAAUUUUUCAUAAUUUGACAAAAAAAAAUUACAUCACUUGCUGACAUCUGGGUCCCUCCAGUUCAGAUGAUAGUACAUCACCUGUAUGGAGUAUGGAAAAAUGUGGCCUUUCUUUUCCUGGCCUAUAAAUGGUAUCCACUACUUCCAAUCCUGCAAGCAACAAGAGAGGACAGGAGAAGAAAACCUUGGCCCUUGAAUAGUUGUGUUCUUCUCUGAAACCUUUUUAGAGAGGUGAGUGCUUGUUCAUCAGAAGCAGAGAGACAAGAUGUAUAACGCUCCAAUGGCACAGGACAUGUCCUACUAUGAACAUGUGCAGAGGCGCCAUGAGGAGAAGGGUUGCCUCUAUGCAUGCAUCUUCACUGCACUGUGCUGCUUCUGCUGCUACGAGACCUGCGAGUGCUGCCUCGACUGCCUCUGCUGCUGCUGCAACUAGGCUGCCAUAUCAAGCCAUAGCAAGAACAUGAUCAAGAUGAGGAUGGAGAUCGCCUCCAUCUCUCUUACCCCUGAGAUUUCAUAAUUUAUCAGCCCGUUGUCAUCAUGUAAAAUUAAUAAACAUGUAGUAGAUGGAAACUUUGUCAGAAUCGAGCAUUUGUGUUCUGAAAAAGAGGACUAUUGUAAGAAACCCAGAAUACUGUUAUCUGAAGUGCUUUCUAUGCGUGUGAAA